rnacentral:rRNA from 1 species
UACAGAGGUCUCAAGCGUUGUUCGGAUUCAUUGGGCGUAAAGGGUGCGUAGGCGGCGCGGUAAGUCGGGUGUGAAAUCUCGGAGCUUAACUCCGAAACUGCAUUCGAUACUGCCGUGCUUGAGGACUGGAGAGGAGACUGGAAUUUACGGUGUAGCGGUGAAAUGCGUAGAGAUCGGGAGGAACACCAGAGGCGAAGGCGGCGACCUGGACAAGCACUGACACUCAACUACGAAAGCGUGGGGAGCAAACAGG